UUGGCUACACGUUCGCCUUACAAGCGAAUGGUCAUGGGUUCGAUUCCCAGCCCCUCCACCAAACCCUCGUCAGUCGCCAGAUCCGCAGCCCAUACGGUGGCGUUUGGGGCAUUCCUCCAACGUUACCCGGAUUAAUGGCAACCGAACAAUGCAACGAUCAUUGAAUACACGACAUGGACAAACGGACACAAUGGACUCACGAUGAGAUGGACUGGCAACGACAAUAAUAAUGGUAAUGGAAAUCUAAAAAUAGAUUCUGUGUGGAUUCUGUAGAGCAGAAUACCACAGUAGAUCUCGGCACAGUAGCGGUCAAGUAACACA